CUCGUCGUCGUUUUCACUGACGAAUCUGAAUAACUUUCUGCUGAUCGCACGGUCUCGCACCGGCGACGCAUCUUUCAAAUGUCUGCCUUAUCAACUGUCGAUGGUAGGUUCUGUGCCUACCAUGGUUGUAACGGGUAACGGGGAAUCAGGGUUCGAUUCCGGAGAGGGAGCCUGAGAAACGGCUACCACAUCCAAGGAAGGCAGCAGGCGCGCAAAUUACCCACUCCCGGCACGGGGAGGUAGUGACGAAAAAUAACGAUACGGGACUCAUCCGAGGCCCCGUAAUCGGAAUGAGAACAAUUUAAAUCCUUUAACGAGGAUCAAUUGGAGGGCAAGUCUGGUGCCAGCAGCCGCGGUAAUUCCAGCUCCAAUAGCGUAUAUUAAAGUUGUUGCGGUUAAAAAGCUCGUAGUCGAAUCUGUGUCCCGCGCCGCCGGUUCGUCGCUCGCGGCGUUUAACUGGCGUGUCCGCGGGACGUCCUGCCGGUGGGCUUAGCCUUUUCAUUAAGGCGGCCCAAUCUUAAUCCCGCCGCGGUGCUCUUCACCGAGUGUCGAGGCGGGCCGGCACGUUUACUUUGAACAAAUUAGAGUGCUUAAAGCAGGCUAAAACUUCGCCUGAAUACUUCGUGCAUGGAAUAAUGGAAUAGGACCUCGGUUCUAUUUUGUUGGUUUUCGGAACCCCGAGGUAAUGAUUAAUAGGAACGGAUGGGGGCAUUCGUAUUGCGACGUUAGAGGUGAAAUUCUUGGAUCGUCGCAAGACGGACAGAAGCGAAAGCAUUUGCCAAAAACGCUUUCAUCGAUCAAGAACGAAAGUUAGAGGUUCGAAGGCGAUCAGAUACCGCCCUAGUUCUAACCAUAAACUAUGCCAGCUAGCGAUCCGCCGAAGUUACUUCUAUGACUCGGCGGGCAGCUUCCGGGAAACCAAAGCUUUCGGGUUCCGGGGGAAGUAUGGUUGCAAAGCUGAAACUUAAAGGAAUUGACGGAAGGGCACCACCAGGAGUGGAGCCUGCGGCUUAAUUUGACUCAACACGGGAAACCUCACCAGGCCCGGACACCGGAAGGAUUGACAGAUUGAGAGCUCUUUCUUGAUUCGGUGGGUGGUGGUGCAUGGCCGUUCUUAGUUGGUGGAGCGAUUUGUCUGGUUAAUUCCGAUAACGAACGAGACUCA
rnacentral:rRNA from 1 species